AAUCGAGUAUUUACAAAGCGAUUAGCUAUCAUUGAUAUGCUAUAAUUUUCGAGUUCCGAUUAGAUUAGACAAGUACUACCGGCGUGGAGUAUUUGAGCGUCUUAUCGCUUUCACAUAUAUUACACUUUUCCCGCCCUAUUAUUAGACUUUCCUGCUUUAUAUAUGUAUACAUUUAAGGAUUUCCAAGGUUGAUAAAAGUGAAGGCGGAAGGAUGCGGUUAGUGCCGACAGGAAGUCUAUGGCGCGAUUGGGGUUUUACCCAAUUCCUUGGGGAAAUCUCAACGCAGUCGCUCUUAGAGCACUGUUCUGAUGCAACGAGUCGCGCGUACAGUUUACAUACUCUAAUAUUUUGAAUAGCGUUAACAUGAUUUAACGCAUUCGCGUGUGACGUAUCCUUCGACUGAUUGUAAGUUUUAGCACGCGCGUUUAAGGAAUACUUCAAUUUUUUAUAAGUUCAUGAGCUGAUAAUAUUCCAUCCAUUAAUGUACUUAAAAGGUAAAGUACAUGUCAACGAAUCGUUUUUCAAGAAUAAUGACGAGCAAUUUGGAGCCUCCCGACCAGGCCGUUUCGAACGCUGACGGCAAUUGUGUUGUAAAACUCAAAGAUAAAACGUCUCUGAGACUGCGUUUGGGUCGUGUCUUCAGCUCUAGUGGGCUCAACAGUCCCAAGAGUCCGAAAAGCGUGUCAAGUUCCCGCGGAUCGAGCCCUAAUCACGGCAGUCCUUGCGCCAGAACAAGGUACUCCUGGCAACCGGGGUCCUACGGUAGCGAAGACAAUCGAUCGUCCUGUACGUCGGAGAGCGGGAUCUCGACAUCUUCGACAAAGUCGUCAUCGAUCGCAAAUACGGCAAGCUCACCCAACAGCCCAUCCACGCCGAAAAGUGCGUGCUCUUCAACGUGGUAUGCUGCCGAUAGAAGGCAGCAGCUGGAGCAACCCGUCUAUUGCGAGUCCGAAUCACGGCGACCCACCACCGUGGAAAAUGACAAGCAAGACGUAUCAGGCGCCAAUCCGGAGAAAGUUAAGAGCACGACACAGGAUCUAUUCGAGUUACUCGAGCGAGUGCAGAGUUCGCGUCUCGAUGACCAACGUUGCGUUCUGCCGUCGUACUUCUCUCAGACACCGAGAGAUGACAGGACGACAUCGAGCCCCGGUGGCACGGCUGGCAAUCACACCUCGGCGCUCUCGCCCUCGCCGGUCGGCGACGCGCCCUUGGGUAGGGCGCUGAUGGAAGCGGCCCUGCAGCAGCAUGCCGCGACCGGUGUCCAGCCGCCUCUGGUCGUCACGCCACCCGGGUACUGGGUCGACGGUACCGAUCAUCGGCACACCCUCGAUUCCGCCGGCAGGGCACUGUUGCCGGCGCAGCCAGCCUGGCAGCCCAGGAUAGACCAGGACGACACAGCCAAGUGCUAUCGCCGCUUCUUCGUCGGCAGGGAACACGUGAAUCUCGUGGGAAGGGACGGUGAGAACGGCCCGGUCCUGGUCUCGGUGAAGGCCGAGACGGUCGCUGGGCAGGAGCACUGGAGGGUGUUGCUGCGACUCCGGGCGGGAUCGACGCACGACCUGGUCCCCGCUGCGAAUCUCACCUCGAGCCCGACGCCGACGAAAAUGGUCAAGGCGAUCAACGAAACUUUAAGCGUGAGUCCCCUGAUGCCGGUCAUGUGCCCCGGCGCCGGUACCUUGGUAGCCCGAUACGACGAGCACGCCCUGGUCUCCAGGUUCAAGUUUGGCGUUCUCCACCAGCGAGCCAGUCAGCUCACCGAGGAGCAGCUAUUCGGCAAUCGGCAGAUCACACCAGCCUUCCAGGAGUUCCUCGAUCUGCUUGGUCAGAAGAUCGACCUCAAGGAUCACAAGGGUUAUCGCGGUGGAUUGGAUACUCGACACGGCCAGACCGGCGACUCGGCGGUGUAUGAGGUGUUCCGGGGCCGGGAGGUAUUGUUCCACGUUGCCUCGUUGCUACCGUACAGCCCGGGCGAUUCGCAGCAGCUGCAGCGCAAACGGCACAUCGGCAACGACAUCGUUGCCAUCAUAUUUCAGGAGGAACCGACGCCCUUCAGCCCGGACAUGAUCGCCAGCCACUUCUUGCACGCCUUCAUCGUCGUGCAAGUCAUCGACCCCUGCACUCCUAAUACGAGGUACAAAGUUAGUGUGACGGCGCGCGAUGACGUUCCCUGGUUCGGACCGACUCUACCGACGCCGGCAGUCUUUCUCAGAGGCGUCGAAUUUAAAGAGUUCCUGCUCACGAAACUCGUGAACGCCGAGAACGCCGCUUACAAAGCCGAGAAAUUCUCCAAGCUGGAGUUGCGGACUAGAUCGGCCUUGUUAGAAUCUCUGACGGAAGAACUGCAGACCAAAACGGUAGAAUUUCUUGGUGGUCCGCUCGGCCUGGGAAAUUCCGGCUUGACCAUUUGCCCGGUGAGCCCAACGACGAACGACGUGUCCACUUCAGGAAGUAGUGGCAGUGGCUCGCGGUUUAUCGAUACGGUGCGCAAAGCGUUGAGCUCCCGCGUGAGGAACGCGUCAACGGAAAGCGUACCGCAGCAGCUAGCCAAGAAGGGUCAACAGACGGAGUCCAGUCCUCCGAGCAAUCGACAGUCGACUGUCACAAAGGUGAGCGGCAGCAAGCGUUCAGUGGAACCGUCCAGUCCCCUCGGCUCGCCGGAUCUGACCCUGAGGAGAGACUCGGAGCGCGGUAGUCUCGGCAGCCAGGACAGCAGCCUAUCCAACACCGACAAUCAAGAUAGCAGUCUGACGACGUUGCAGCAGGACGAAUAUGAUCGCAGGGAAUCGCAGGGUACGAGUGCCGUCUGCCUCGACAGCGAUGCCACUGUCGUCGACAAGGUCCCGGCGCCGACGUCGGCAACGGUACAGCGACUGACGCACGAAAAUCUGCGCACACAGGAGAAAACAACGACAGAAGUGACGCAGAGAGUGAUCUCGGAGAGUGACGACAGCUCGCUUAACAGCGAGCUCGAGCUCGAUCAGGCCGUGUAUCCCGACAGCGACACGGGUCUCGAAUCGAUGAGCUCCGCGGAGACUCACGAUGCCACGAGGUGUACGAGUAAAGACGGGGUUGUGGAAAACGAAAACCUCAGGAUGGAGGUCACUAGGCUCAAGUGCGACAAGCUGGAUCUGUUGCGACAGAAUGUGACAUGCCAACGUGAACUGAAACGUCGUCGAGAGAAGGAGCUGCAGUUGGAGUCUGAUUUGGCGGCGGCGUCCAAGGAAAUUCUGCGACUACGUGCAAUGCUAAAGGAAUGCUCCACGAGCAUUCCGCUGGAUAACAAUAACCAGCAGACGUCCACCGUGUGAAGUUUGCGAGCGCGACGUGUAGUCUUAGGCGCGAUUAUGAGUUGCUCUCGCGAGAUAUUAGAUAGUACGACCUUUGCGGUCGAAUACAAUUGCAUGUGCUGUAGAAAGGAAAUUAUCUCGAAAAACGUGCAUAGUAAAUUUCCUUCGUCUUUACUAGAAAUUUGUCUCGCAACUCACACGGCUUCCGCACACACGCUGAUUCUUUCCCGUUACAUCACUUUCGCUCAUAGUUUGAUAUCGAGUUUACCGAGAGAUACGCGAAAUAUGAUGAUGAGGAUGAACUAAAGAACAGAGACGUAAAAUGAAGUGUUGCGACGGCUUUUAAACGCUUGACGAGUACUCAUACUUAAACACUAUGUACCUUCCGUUCACCAGGAAUCAUUCAUUACUUCCAAAGGUCUAUCAUUAGUGCUCCGUAAGAGCACAUAGAGUUUGCAAGAUGCUUUACCGUGAUUAAUCAUCCAAGCCGAGUUUUCUUUUUCUAGGUAGAGAAUACAAGUUCUAUAAGUCAUAUACGAGAUAAUAGAAUUAACACGAAUCUGUGAAACUGUGUAUAGUGGCCGAAGUAUCGCUAAGAUACUUGCAGUAUAGAUUCAAGAUUGUUAGACUUCUUGUUUGACUUAUAAAACACGUGUAAUAUUUAUCUAUUAAUUUAUUAGUAGACUUAAGCUGACCAUUUGUAGUCAAUAUACAUACGUGGAUACAAAAAGAAGCAGUAGGGGUAUCUGUAAUAUUAGCUAUUUUAAGAGGCGGAUUCAGCAUUUGACAUUAAGGAGAAACAAAAAUUGUCACGAUGCGCCGCAACAAAAACGUCGUGUCUAUCUAUUGAAGCUUAUACAUAGCUCCCGUUUAUUCUUCCGUAGCGCGGAUUAUCCGGUUAUUUGGGCACAAUUGGGCAAAGAACUUCUUCCAUGUUAGAUGCGAUCUUACAUAGUCGGGAGACAUUUUGUUACGCGCGAUUGUAGACAAAAAUAUGUACCGCUAGCUACAGUAUUUGUCACACGAUAGACUUUACCCGACACUCUUACCUGUUUAUUAGUUCCCUAGUAUUAGAUACCAGAGAAUAGUGUUUAGAUACUUCUACGAGGUUUAAUUGUCUCCGAAACACCAUCCUCGCGUGCUAGUUUUUAGCGAAAGACCGAUCUUUAUUUUGUUUUUAAUAAAUCGCGCACAGCACCAAAUUAUUUAAGUAAACAUCACGUGUCUCCACAAAGUAUCGUUACUCCCCUUUCGCACGUGCUAACGAGAGAUGCGUUCACCGUUCACCGUUCACCGUUUAAAGUUAAGUAUUUUGUAUUCGUUCUUGAUUGGCAGAUGUCGAUCUUUUUGUUAUCUCUUAUGGCUAGUAUUAAUACCAUUCUUACCAUUAUUAUUAUCAGCCUUACGAUUAUUAUUAAUACUUUUAUUAACAGUACGUUAUACUUUGUAUGAUCUUUGUAAAUAAUCGUUAAUAUAGGGCGAACACUCGAAGGCGCUAAGCGAACUGGCACAAAGAGGAGGAACAGUGACGUUCACUCACACAUAAUACCAAAGUUUAAUGUAGUAAAAUUCAUAACUUUUCUUUUCUUUUUUUUUACUUUCCUCAGUCCCCUUGUUUUCCCGUUUUCCAUUAUUUUUACAGGUCGAAAAGAGAUUGCGAGUUCCGUUGUGUCAGAGAUUUUCGUCGAAAGAGGAAAUAGAAGCUACUCAUUUUCGCAGCUAUUUUGAUGAAACAUCACAUUUAUCACUGCCUAUGCGAUGUCGCCUCGACAUUUCUCUUUCGAGAACACGUAAAGUCUGUUCUACUGCUUAUAUAACGUGAUUGAUUGUACCAACAACACUUUAUAUACUAGUGAAAAAUACCACGACCGGUAUACUGCUACUGUAGUAUUGAUAACUUAAAUCUUGAUCUUUCUCUUGCAAGGGCAAAAUUAUUUCUACCGAAAAGAAGAAAAAUCACAUGAAAAAGGCGAAUUUUUUCUUAAAUUUGAUAAAAAUCAUGUAGUUGAAUACGCUAAAGUCGCAGUAUUUCGGACUUGUGUUACACUAAAACUAGUAUCUUUCGAUCUCUUAUAAUACUGGAGGAUUGGAUGGGAAUUAUACUUUCCAAAUCUAUUGACUUAUACUUUUGCAUUAUCUAUAAAUUGAUUGGAGCGAUGGCUAGCACACGUCGGCACUAUUUAAGCAAGCUUUUGUACGUGUCAUUGUACAAAGUUUUAAAGGCUUGUGGGGACGAUUUUUUUUAGUAACGAGAGAUAUUCCAGAAAGAGGAAAGAUAUGUAUAUAUCUUUAUUAUUUUGAACACAUUAAAAAUUAUUUCGCGAGGAAGAAAGAUAUACGAAUUAUUCUAAACGCGUCAAAAUUAUUUCGGGAAGAGGAAAGAUAUACGAAUUAUUCUAAAUACGUUAAAAUGAUUCUAGAAGGAGGAGAAAUAUACGAGUUGUUCUAGAUACAUUUAUAAAUUGAAAACAAUGUACAAAAUUGAGAUUUCUGAAGUAAUGACGGACUGUUUUCGUUGACCGUUAAUGUUGUGUCUGAUAGAGAUCUGCGAUAGUGAGAAAGUUAAAUAUUUAUAUCCGUGAUUCAAUUGGACCCGAGGGAGAUAAUUGAUCCGAAAUGAGCGAGCGAUAAAACAAAUGAAUUGGAAAAACCGACGUGUUUAAUAAAGCCAACGGCGCACAAUAUUUUUCCCACUGAAUUUCUUGCAAGAGUCCAUGAGGAUGCAGAGCUUUAGAUCAGGCGACUUAAAGUUGAAUCCUAAUUGGCUUUCGCAAGCAAUCCAGUAGGAAAAAUAGUAUCGUGCGUCAUUGGCUUAAAUCCGAACACCGGCACACACAUUACUAUAUAUUGGCUGCUUUCCUUUUAGAGAACACAGUCGACAUUUUUUACACAAAUCGACAUAUGUCGCUUCCCACUUAGAAUUUAAUUCAAACUCAAUCGACACUUUUCGACUCUGCUCGGGAGGAGGAGUCGGAGUGGGUUUUCGACCGAAGGACGCAUCGGCUCACGUGGCAAACUGUGCUCGAGUAUGUUACCUUGUGUCGAUUUGCAUCUCCUGAAAGGAAAGCAGCCAUUGUCAGAGAAGUGAUUACACUGUUUAUUAAGAAGUGACUUUUUUUCGAGCACAAAACGAGGGUAAUCCUUCUGAAAACUGUAAGAAGCGAUCACCAUCGGUCUCAUGCAUUUUUGUUUUCGUUGAACAGUGUUAUCGUUACGGAAUAUUUAAAUAUUUUCGGAAACGUCUUGUAUACUACCUAUACAUAUAUCUAUAAGAGAUAUCUAUAGAAAAUUUAUAUUACGAUUUAAUACUCGCGAAGAAGUUAAUUGAAUCUCCUUUUAAUUUUUACCAAUGUACAUAACGACGAGAAUUGCGUUCGAUCACGGAGAUCGUCGUUCGAUCGAAGACUAAGUUUUACCACUGUCUAGUGUGAUUUCUAUGCUGGCCUUGCGAAAAGUCAAAGAAAGAUUAUCUAUAUUAUAGAGAGAUAUUCAUUAUUAUAUAUAUUACCAAGGACAAGAAAACGGACUGAGAAGUAGGAAAGGGGAAAGGAUAGAAAAUAUUACAACAGAUAUAUAUCUAUAUAAAUAUAUUUUGUAUCUAAUAUUAAUCACCCAUUUCUACAACUAACUCGAAUACUUCACUCUUAAAAAACUUUGUAUGUAUACAGGGUGUCUCAAAUUUCCUGUGUGAUAAUCCUGAUAAAAAUUAUUUUCUAAAACUACUGUGAAACGAUGAAAAGUUAACUGAAAGUUAUUGAAGAAAAUAUUAAUUUUUUUUAAUUGUGAAAUGUCUUAAAAAAUGUGUAAUUUUAGGAACAUAUUUUUUUUUAAUUCAUCAUCUCUAUAUGGUAUGUUAAAGUCUGAACGAGAACAGGUUCUUCGCGAACGGUUCCAAAAAACAUCUCUUCUGGGUCUUAAUUGAAGAUAAAAACUAGAAAUCUCUUGAAUAAAACUAGUCUUUACCGUCUUUAGUCGAUGAUUUUAAUAUAAAUUAAAAAAAUUAAAAACAUGCCUCGGUAGUCGAAUUGGUGGAGACGCCCGCCUAAGUGAGUGAGAGGUUCAAACCCUGGCUGAGGUAAUAUUUUUCGCAAUAAAUUUUCUGUAUUACAAAAAUUGCCAGAUACGGUCAGUAGAAAUCACUGAUGUUUUUAAAAUAACUUCAAAAGUAUACUGUUAACGAUUGUCGCGGGAGAUUUGAGAUAUUCUACUUACAAACAAUAUUUCCUACGACGAUGUGGAACACAUUAGGCGUUCGAUCUUUUCAAUUUCACUAUUAGGUGAAAAAUAAUUGCGAGUAUUUGUAAAGGAUGUUUACUGAGCUGUCUCAGGACUCUCAGGCCUGGUCUACAAUGAGUUAAAUCAGUUAUUAGUCGGAAUUAUAUGUCGGUCCUUUCUCUUUUUGGACUAACAUAUAGUUCUGACUAAUAACUGAUUUAACUCAUUGUAGACCAGACCUUAGAGUAAACACAUUAUCGAUAAACACAAUGCGUUCAUGCUUUCGAGAACGUAAGUAACGGUCUAAAAGAAAAUACAAUCCGUGUUUGUCGUAUCACAAGUCACAACCCGUGAAACAAAUGAACGUGUAUGUAGACAUAGGUGUACGUGGAAAAUUCUUAGCGAAAUUCUUCGACACAGAUUAGUUAUUGUCGCCUACACCGAGUUGGGAUUCUGGCUUCGCGAGCGAUUCGAAGCAGCAUACCGUACCGGGAAAUCGAAUUGUUUGUAUCGAUAUCACAGAAUCGCUACUGUUGCCGAACAUCUGGCGCAAAAUGCUGGAAUGAUAUGACUCAGAGUCCGCAAGCUAUUAUUGCAUAAUAUAUCCAAAGGUAAUAUUUGGCAAUGAAUAAUUCUUUAAAGCACGAUUAGAGCAUAACACUAUAAGGGAACCAUGCACCAAAUAGAUGUUACUACAAAACCCAGCGAGAAGAGACUCAAUCGAUGUCGAAUCGACAACGUUUCGAUAUCGAUCGACAAAUCAUUUCUCACUGGGAAUAUGUGACAAUUAGGAAAGUUCCAGUGCAACUCUACUCUCGGAAAUAUCUCGAAUCCGAUCGCAAUGAAGCUCCUUAUACGCAGAAAAUUGUAAGCGUACGAUGUGUAUAAUGUAUUCGGUCACCUACGACGUCAAUAUCUAAGCGAUCUUGGAAAAUGCAAAAAGCUCUGAUUAUUGGACUAGUCUGUGUAUAUAAGCAUAUGUAUUAUAUAUACAAAGAAAGAAGAAAAUAAAGAAGACAUGCAAAGCAA